AGCCUGAACGCUGGCGGCGUGGCUAAGACAUGCAAGUCGCAUGGAUGUAGCGAUACAUCAGUGGCGAACGGGUGAGUAAUGAAUCGCUAACGUACCCUGGACUCUGGGAUAGCUGUCCGAAAGGGCAGGUAAUACCAGAUUAUAUAUCUGAACCGCAUGGUUUGGAUCUCAAAGGUCCGCC
rnacentral:rRNA from 1 species